GGCUGUGUAGCUCAGUGGCAGAGCACUCGCCCGGCAAGCGAUAGUUACAUUGGGUUCGAUUCCCAGUCUAGGCCA
rnacentral:tRNA from 1 species